UAUCUACAUGAUAUCAGUGAUUUACUGUCCGGCAGUCAAAAUAGUUUCCUUUCUUCUCUCUUACCCAAGUUCACGUUCUGUUGUCUGGUGUCACUUGAUAAUCUUUCAUUCUCUCUUAAAAAAAAAAAGAAAAAAUCGGGUUCUUCUCUCUCUUUUUCCCAUUAAGAUGUGAAUGGGCAGGCAUCUCGGCCAAUAUGUCUCUACAUGGCUGAAUACACUCGGAGAAAAGGAGGGUCUCCUUUGUCUGGACCCUGGAUGGCUGAGUGUCAUUCCGCGCCGAUGGGCAGGGCCUCCCUCGGAGCAGGAACUUUGCGAUAAUUGCCAGAACAAAUUGAACUCAGGCUUAUUGGUUCCUUUCCUUUUUCAGUUGGGAAAUGGAGGGAAUGGGAGAACACGGCCAUUUUUGACCAAUCACAAUAUAGCGUAGAAAUAGAUUGGACACAGCAGUGCCCAGUGGUGUUGCAGACAGCAAUCACGGGGUGUCCUUGUGCAGGGGUGAGAAGGUGCGUCCCCUCGAUCACCUGUCAAUCCCAGAGGAGCUCAGCCCUGAGUGUUCAUUGGAAGGACUGAUGCUGCAGCUGAAGCUCCACUAUUUUGGCCACCUGAUGUGAAGAACUGACUCAUUGGAAAAGACCCUGAUGCUGGGAAAGAUUGAAGGCAGGAGGAGAAGGGGGCGACAGAGGCUGAGAUGGUUGGAUGGCAUCACCAACUCAGUGGACAUGAGUUUGAAAUCUCGAGGGAUCUGACACCUUUCCUGUAUUUCAUUGGCGGUGCUUCUACACCCGUCUGUGUCUGUGCGACCACGGGUUUUAUUCAGCUGUUAGUUCCACGUGCAUGAUGGUAGCUGGAAGCUGUAAUCGACACACGUGAAGGCAAAUUGAUGCAACCGUAGAGCGGUUUUAAAGGAGACACAGCAAACUAUGAAGUCAUGCAAAUACAGCUUCUUGAAGAACUUCAUUAGCAUCGCCCACGAGCUAUAGUUUACAGUAAAUGGCCACAGGGGCCCUCAGAGGUCAUGGCCUGUGGCCAGCUC
ensembl:lncRNA